rnacentral:lncRNA from 10 species
GCACUAAUACUGUAAAAAAUAUGACCCUGGACAGCACAGAUCUGAUGUUCAUGAACCACUACACUAUGGUGGGGGACCGUGGCUCAUGCCUGUAGGCUGAGGCAGGCCAAUCACUUGCGUUCAGGAGUUUCAUGGCGAAACUCUUGUCUUUACAAAAAAAAUACAAAAAAAGUUAGCCAGGGAUAGUGGCAUGCACCUGUGGUCCCAGCUACUCAGGAGGCUGAGAUGGGAGGAUCUCUUAAGCCUGGAAGUUCAAGGCUGCACUUCUACAAAAAAACAAAAGCAGGCUGGACGCAGUGGCUCACACCUGUAAUCCCAACGCUUUGGGAGGCUGAAGGGGGGGGAUCACGUAAGGUCAGGAGUUCAAGACCAGCCUGACCAACAUGGAGAAACCCCAUCUCUAAUUAAAAAAAAUACAAAAAUCAGCCGGACAUGGUGGCACAUGCCUGUAGUCCCAUCUACUCGGGAGGCUGGGGCAGGAAAAUUGCUUGAACCCAGGAGACGGAGGUCACAGUGAGCCAAGCCUGGGAAACAGAGCAAGAUGC